GCGGGUGUAGUUCAACGGCUAGAACCACAGGUUUCCAACCUGUUAAUGGGGGUUCGAUUCCCCCCACCCGCU
rnacentral:tRNA from 1 species